GUGAAAUUGUUGUUGCUCUUGAUUGGAUAUCUGUGUUGGAUCAGGUGGCACUGCCACUCACCCAGCUUGACGUCGUGAGAUCACAAUUGAUCCUCCCCAAGAUCCCCGUACCAGCCGUCGGGGCCAAAGGCAAACAUCUUUUCUAACCGCCUAGAUUGACAAUCGAGAUUGAAACGCUCACACACACACACACACAGGCUCACAUACCAGAAGAUACUCAGAUACAAAUAGUGGCGUGGAACCGAAUGAGGAUGGAAACGAGGCGGCCGAGCGUGAAAAGAGGUAUGCAGUUUUCGGAUGAGUCAUUCAGGAGAAAAAGCUCGUGGGGCCCAGUGCUUUCGGGGAAAGCGAUCUCGAAGGGCGUUGUCUGCGCCUGCUGAUGUCAUUGGGAUUCGGAUGAUGGAGGCCCAUCCCAAAACGUAUCUGGCGCAUCUAUUACGAAUGAACAGUUACAUCCUCCGCACCAAGCCCAAAGACACGAAACCACCAACACAGCGCCACAUUCAACAGCUGUCUAAAAAACCGUUCAUGGUCAUUGUGCCAUAAAUGGCAAACGAAACGAAAUUGAAAUUAAGCAAAUGAGUGGGAAACCAGACGCUGUAGCAACAAAGGAGAAGAACUUAGAGGCAACAACAGCAACAAACGGCAACGGCAGCAGCAACUUCGGAAAACAAGUUGAUAAAAGUCGAGGCCCAAAAGACGAAUCCACUAGACGACAAACGAAGGCGGAUGCGCACCUAGAAGCCGCCAAAUGAGGAGCUCUAGCGGAUGCUGUGCCUCUUCAACUGGGCCAAAAUCAAAGCAACUUCAACGGCAUCGUUGAUCAACAGAACACUCGGGGAAAAAGCCAGAGAUAAGGAAAUCAACUUUAAUUUUACAUUAUUAAUUUUAAAAUCAUAAAAUCCUUUUAAUAAUAAAAUAUUGAUGACUAAAA